GUUGACGUUGUGAGGAACUUAAGGCUUCCUUUUGCUUGGCGAGCCAUCCACAGCCUUUUUAAAUGUACACAGUCCAUGUAAGUGCCACAUAAGUCUUGCUGUUGGAAAAGGAUCUGCUUUUGGAAGUCAGACAGGCUGUGCAUCUCGUCUCCUUCCCCUGAAAAAUCUGGCCUCUGAAGGUUUUUUUAAGGUGAGUGGCAUGCUUCACCACAUGAUCUGGCACUCCCAAUCUUCCUUUAUAAUCUGCAAAACCAUCAAUCAAAAAGAAAAAUCAAAGGAAGGAAGAGAAACUGAUAUUAUUGGGACUAAAACUGAAGAAUGACAGAGCUACAAGGACA
rnacentral:lncRNA from 1 species